CCUGGAGACAGGAGAAUAUCUCCCUGGAAUAUCCCUCUCUGCACUUGUAUGUCUUCAAUUAUUAUCUGGCCUUCUGUAUGAUUUAGGGUGAUGGUGGUGUUCCACUUAUUCAUCCAUAUCCUCAGAAAAGAUCUUAUUUCCUCAUUGAUGUUGUAGAGUUCGAAGCAUCUCCUAAUCCAGGAGUGUGGCACGCUGUCAAAUACCUUUUUAUAAUUAAUCCAAGUCAUGCUAAGGUUUCUCCUCCUUUUUUGCAGUCCUCAAGGAUAGCUUUAUUUAUCAAUAACUGAUCGUUAGCUCCUAAUCAUUUCCUUAUGCAGCCUUUUUGUUCAUUUUCCAGGUAGCCACCAGUGUCAAGAUAUUCAUAAAUUGCAUCAGCUAUCAUUCCUGUCAGCCAUUUGCAUGUUGUUGUUAGGCAGCAGAUGGGUCUGUUCUUGUUGGGUCGCUGUGUUUCCUUGGUCUUUGGUAGUAGACUUGUGUUCCCAGUCCUUAGUCUGGCGUGUCCUCUUCUUCGUUCAAUAUUUUUGUGAAAGCCACGGCAUAGCGGUGGUGCAAUGCUGUCAGCCUUUUCAACCAAAAAUUUGAGACUUUAUGAAUGCCAGGUGCCUUAAUGUAUUCAUGAAUUUUCAUUCACUUUUUUGUCUUGUAUGAAUUAUCAUGUGUCUCUUCAGAGUGCCCUUUAGUCCAAAUCUUCGACCACACUCAGAACAAACAAAUGCUUUUUGCCCUGUAUGAACCAUCAUGUGUGUUUUCAAGUUGCUCUUUUGUCCAAAUCUUUUACCACAAUCAGAACAAACAAAUGGUUUUUGUCCUGUAUGAAUUACCAUGUGUAUGUUCAGUUCGCUCUUUUGCCUAAAUCUUUUACCACACAAACAGACAUAUGCUUUUUUCCCUGUAUGAAUUAUCAUGUGUGUGUUCAGGUGGCCCUUUUGUCCAAAUCUUUUACCACACAGAGAACAAACAAAUGCUUUUUCCCCUGUAUGAAUUAUCAUGUGUCUAUUUAAGCUGCCCUUAUGUCCAAAACCUUGACCACAUUCAGGACAGACAAAUGGUUUUAUUCCUGUCUCAAUUGUAAUGUGUUUGAUCAGAGUGCCCUUCUGUUUCUGUCUUUUACUCCAAUCAGAACAGCUAAACGGUUUUCCGCUCAUUUGCUUCUCCUUUUGUUGCUCUGAGUUGUUCAUGUGACCAGAUGCUUUUCUAUAUUUAGUGCUUUUAAACUGUUUCUCAUUAGUGUUGCCUGAACUAACAACAUUAGUAUUUUUUUGACAGUUAAAUGUUGACUGAAGGUCUCUGGUCUGUUUCCAGUCAUAACUAUCAUCAGUCUCAGUUUCAGAACUGUCUGAACUCCUGCCACUGGUAUCUUGUUGUAAAUGAC